CAAACUGUCCGACUGUGAGAAUUCCUAACGGGUUUCUGAACGCGUCCUUUGCUGCCGAGAAGAUUUCGGCAACAUGUGACAGCGGACAUUUUCUGACCGGAUAUGCCAAUUGUACGCAAAAUGGCGAAUGGGUAUAUAGGGGGCUAUUGUGCCACAGCCAUUCAUGCGUGUUUGGCACGAUCCAGACCGGUACACAGAAGUGCUCAUGCAACGGGGACUUCAAAGGGGACUCCUGUGACCGGUAUACAUGCUGGGGAAAGCAGCUUCGAAUAGCUCCAUCGCGCAAACAGGUGGACUACAUACAAGCCAUUGCCACCUGCAAGGCACUCGAUGGCAAUAGCGGGAUUUGGACCCUGAUGCCCAGGGAAUUUCAAUCGUGCGCACAGGUGUUCCUGCAAAAGCUUGGCUUCGGAGCAGAGAGUCCAGUGCUGGCCGACUUUGUCAAUUCGUAUGGAGGUGGUGUCCUGUACAAUAAUGGCAGCUUUGACCCGACCGGAAUUGCUACC